rnacentral:rRNA from 1 species
GACGUAGGGCGCGAGCGUUGUCCGGAUUUAUUGGGCGUAAAGAGCUCGUAGGCGGCUUGUCGCGUCGUCCGUGAAAACCCACAGCUCAACUGUGGGCUUGCGGUCGAUACGGGCAGGCUAGAGUUCGGUAGGGGAGACUGGAAUUCCUGGUGUAGCGGUGAAAUGCGCAGAUAUCAGGAGGAACACCGGUGGCGAAGGCGGGUCUCUGGGCCGAUACUGACGCUCAUGUGCGAAAGCGUGGGGAGCAAACAGG